rnacentral:tRNA from 1 species
AGCCCCGUGGUCUAGUGGUCAAGGAUGCGGGCCUUUGGAGCCUGUGACCCCGGUUCGAAUCCGGGCGGGGCUA